rnacentral:rRNA from 1 species
UACGUAGGGUGCGAGCGUUAAUCGGAAUUACUGGGCGUAAAGCGUGCGCAGGCGGUUCGUUGUGUCGGCGGUGAAAGCCCCGGGCUUAACCCUGGGAAGUGGCCGUUGAAACUGGCGAACUGGAGUGUGGCAGAGGGGGGUGGAAUUCCGCGUGUAGCAGUGAAAUGCGUAGAGAUGUGGAGGAACACCGAUGGCGAAGGCAGCCCCCUGGGUUAACACUGACGCUCAGGCACGAAAGCGUGGGAGCAAACAGG